AUUGAACGCUGGCGGCAGGCCUAACACAUGCAAGUCGAACGAGUGGCGGACGGGUGAGUAAUGUCUGAGAACCUGCCUGAUGGAGGGGUAUAACUACUGUAAACCGUAGCUAAUACCGCAUACCAUCAGAUCUGCCCAGAGGGGAUUCGCUAGUUGGUGGGGUAACGGCUCACCAAGGCGACGAUCCCUAGCUGGUCUGAGAGGCUGACCAGCCACCCUGGAACUGAGACACGGUCCAGACUCCUACGGGAGGCAGCAGUGGGGAAUAUUGCACAAUGGGCGCAAGCCUGAUGCAGCCAUGCCGCGUGUAUGAAGAAGGCCUUCGGGUUGUAAAGUACUUUCAGCGGGGAGGCGUUACCCGCAGAAGAAGCACCGGCUAACUCCGUGCCAGCCGCCGCGGUAAUAC
rnacentral:rRNA from 1 species